rnacentral:snRNA from 1 species
AUAGUUACCAGGCAGGGAGAUCCAGGAUGAGGUUUAUCCAUUGUACUCCAGAUGUGCUGACCGAUGUGAUUGAUUUCCUCAAACGACAGAAAGUCAACUGUAUAAUUUGUUGGAGGCUUUGUUCCCAGUUCCCCCUG